rnacentral:rRNA from 1 species
AGUUCGAUCAUGGCUCCGUUGAACACUGGCGGGAUGCUUUACACAUGCAAGUCGAACGGCAGCACGGACUUCGGUCUGGUGGCGAGUGGCGAACGGGUGAGUAAUGUAUCGGAACGUGCCUAGUAGCGGGGGAUAACUACGCGAAAGCGUAGCUAAUACCACAUACGCCCUUCGGGGAAAGCGAAGGGACCUUCGGGCCUCGCACUAUUAGAAACGGCCGAUAUCUGAUUAGCUAGUUGGUGGGGUAACGGCUCACCAAGGCGACGAUCCGUAGCUGGUUUGAGAGGACUGACCAGCCACACUGGGACUGAGACGGCCCAGGCUCCUACGGGGGGCAGCAGUGGGAAAUUUUGGACAAUGGGGAAACCCUGAUCCAGCCAUCCCGCGUGUGCGAUAGAGAGCCUUCGGGUUGUAAAGCACUUUUGGCAGGAAAGAAACGGCACGGAUAUACCCGUGCAGCGAUAAUGCCACCCAGGGCUUCCGGCUAACUACGUCUGGCCGCGGUAAUACGUAGGGUGCAAGCGUUAAUCGGAAUUACUGGGCGUAAAGCGUGCGCGGGCGGUUCGGAAGAAAAAGAUGUGAAAUCCCAGAGCUUAACUUUGGAACUGCAUUUUUAACUACCGAGCUAGAGUGUGUCCAGGGGAGGUGGAAUUCCGCGUGUAGCAGUGAAAUGCGUAGAUAUGCGGAGAGACACCGAUGGCGAAGGCAACCUCCUGGGAUAACACUGACGCUCCUGCACGAAAGCGUGGGGAGCAAACAGGAUUAGAUACCCUGGUAGUCCACGCCCUAAACGAUGUCAACUAGCUGUUGGGGCCUUCGGGCCUUGGUAGCGCAGCUAACGCGUGAAGUUGACCGCCUGGGAAUACGGUCGCAAGAUUAAAACUCAAAGGAAUUGACGGGGACCCGCACAAGCGGUGGAUGAUGUGGAUUAAUUCGAUGCAACGCGAAAAACCUUACCUACCCUUGACAUGCGGAAUCCCGAAGAGAUUUGGGAGUGCUCGCAGAACCGGAACACAGGUGCUGCAUGGCUGUCGUCAGCUCGUGUCGUGAGAUGUUGGGUUAAGUCCCGCAACGAGCGCAACCCUUGUCAUUAGUUGCUACGAAAGGGCACUCUAAUGGAACUACCGGUGACAAACCGGAGAAGGUGGGGAUGACGUCAAGUCCUCAUGGCCCUUAUGGUGGGCCUACACGUCAUACAAUGGUCGGGACAGAGGGUCGCCAACCCGCGAGGGAGCCAAUCGAAACCCGAUCGUAGUCCGGAUCGCGUCUGCAACUCCUUGAACACGUGAAGUCAGAUCGCUGUGUCACUUGGAUCAGCAUGUCGCGGUGAAUACGUUCCCGGGUCUUGUACACACAUACGUCACACCAUGGGAGUGGUUUUACCAGAAGUAGUUAGCCUAACCGUAAGGAGGGCUGAUUACCACAGGUAGGAUUCAUGACUGGGGUGAAGUCGUAACAAGGUAA